CCUACGGGAGGCAGCAGUGAGGAAUAUUGGGCAAUGGGCGGGAGCCUGAACCAGCAAAGUCGCGUGAGGGAAGACGGUCCUAUGGAUUGUAAACCCCUUUAGGCGGGGAGCAAUGCCGGGCACGCGUGCCCGGAGGGGGAGUACCCGCAGAAUAAGCAGCGGCUAAGUCAGUGCCAGCAGCCGCGGUAAUACGGAGGAUGCGAGCGUGAUCCGGAUGUAUGGGGUUAAAGGGGAGCGUAGGCGGAUUUUUAAGGCAGCGGUAAAAUGUCCGGGUUAAACCCGGGCCGGCCGUUGAAACUGGGGAUCUUGAGUGGGCGAGAGGUAUGCGGAAUGCGGGGUGUAGCGGUGAAAUGCGUAGAUAUUAGGAGGAACACCAGUGGCGAAGGCGGCUUACUGGACUGUAACUGACGUUGAGGCUCGAAAGCGUGGGGAGCAAACAGGAUUAGAUACCCUGGUAGUC
rnacentral:rRNA from 1 species